CACAUCGCCGGGACCAGGAAUUUCCGGCCGUUUACCCCGUGCGCAUUGUAGCUGGCUCCAGUAGUUUUAUCAGUCAACACAUUACCGGCGUAACCCGGGUAAGCACCCGAUCCGAACACGCCCGUGCAAGCAGUCACAGCCUCCAAAGGUGCCAUCGCCGGGCCCUGGAAAUACCCGCUAUUAAACGGGUUCGUCACAGUUCCCGCCAAAACCGUGGCCAGGUUUAUGAUCAUCCCUUCAACUCCAACAUCUCCGUUUGGCGUCACUAAAGGUGGGGUCUGCGGGCCGUAAACAGGCUGAUGGAAAGGCCAAGAACAGUAACCCGGGCACUGAGUCUCGGCGUUCCCCACCCACGCAUAAGCAAACCGAGUCGGGCCCGGGGUUGACCCGUGGCUCCCACAUCUAUUCAUGCAAAAACC
rnacentral:lncRNA from 1 species